UACGUAGGGUGCGAGCGUUAAUCGGAAUUACUGGGCGUAAAGCGUGCGCAGGCGGUUUUGUAAGACAGGCGUGAAAUCCCCGGGCCUCAACCUGGGAAUGGCGCUUGUGACUGCAAAGCUGGAGUGCGGCAGAGGGGGAUGGAAUUCCGCGUGUAGCAGUGAAAUGCGUAGAUAUGCGGAGGAACACCGAUGGCGAAGGCAAUCCCCGUGGGCCUGCACUGACGCUCAUGCACGAAAGCGUGGGGAGCAAACAGG
rnacentral:rRNA from 1 species